rnacentral:rRNA from 1 species
GAUGAACGCUAGCGGCAGGCCUAAUACAUGCAAGUCGAACGGUGUAGCAAUACACAGUGGCGCACGGGUGCGUAACACGUAUGCAACCUACCUUACAUUGGGGGAUAGCCUUUCGAAAGGGAGAUUAAUACCGCAUAAGACAGUAACUAGGCAUCUAGUAGCUGUUAAAGAUUUAUCGAUGUAAGCUGGGCAUGCGUCCAAUUAGUUAGUUGGCAAGGUAAUGGCUCACCAAGACGAUGAUUGGUAGGGGAACUGAGAGGUCAAUCCCCCACACUGGGACUGAGAUACGGGCCAGACUCCUACGGGAGGCAGCAGUAGGGAAUAUUGGGCAAUGGGCGCAAGCCUGACCCAGCCAUGCCGCGUGCAGGAAGAAGGCGUUAUGCGUUGUAAACUGCUUUUAUACAGGAAGAAACGACCCUUGCGAGGGGCAUUGACGGUACUGUAUGAAUAAGCACCGGCUAACUCCGUGCCAGCCGCCGCGGUAACAC